rnacentral:rRNA from 1 species
UACGAAGGGGCUAGCGUUGCUCGGAAUGACUGGGCGUAAAGGGCGCGUAGGCGGAUGGUACAGUCAGAUGUGAAUUCCCGGGCUCAACCUGGGGGCUGCAUUUGAUACGUAUGAUCUUGAGUGGGGAAGAGGGUCGUGGAAUUCCCAGUGUAGAGGUGAAAUUCGUAGAUAUCGGGAGGAACACCAACGGCGAAGGCAGCACUCUGGCUGGAACUGACGCUGAGGAGCGAAAGCCGUGGUAGCAACAGG